GGAGCUCCUAUGGUGUCACUGGGAAGCAUGGAGGAGGAGCUGGUGGCUGCUGAGAGCAGAUGUCCUUGCUAUAAUUCCUGCCUUGCCCCACCCAAGGACAGACCUCCACAGAUAGCCCCAGGACCUCAGAGAUUUCUGGAAAGACAUUCUUUUGGCUUUGUUGCUUAGGAUUCCCUGCACAGCAGGAGUUGAGGACCUGUUUACUGGUGGGAGUCUGAUAUUGAAAGUUACCACUUCAUUGUGUAAAGCCUCCUGUACCCUGGGUCCCCUUGACCAGAAGUUCAGUUGGGAGCAGCUUUCAGAGCUGGAAGCAUACUUCAAGGUGGAACCAUACCCAGACCUCCAGGAUCGAAAGAUCAUGGCCACCAGACUGAAACUGAAAGAGGAACAAGUUGAGGCUUGGUUCAUCCAGAGAUCCUUGGAGGAGGAGAUGCGGCCCCCCUUGGCCAGGCUGCAGCAGUCUGCCCUGGAUGGUACCUCUUCUCCUUCCCACAAAGCCCUGUGCUGCAGGCCACCAAGCUGGAAGUACAGGCUCAUUCCCAUCAAUCCCCCUGAGUCCUCGACCAGCUGUAAGCACAGUUGCUGAUCCUCCUUCCCCAUGGGCCACUCCAACAUGUACCACAAAAACUGUUUCCCCAAUUCCCCACCCCCUAUCACAGGCCUGGCUGCACCAAACUCAUCAAAUGGUGGAUGCCUCCCAGAACCCUCAGGGUCAAUGUUUGAAUACCUGGGUGCCAGGACAGAUGACAUUGGACAGAAAUGGUGCAGAAAUGGUGUUGAGUCUCCACCUAGGGCCUCCACUUGAAUGUCCAGGGCCAAACCCCACUGCUGUGGUUCCACUUCUUUUAACAGCCUCCCCUCAAAAGUGGCCUCUCCUUCAGGAUAGCUAUCAACUCAAUGUGCAGCACAGUAUCACACUGACUUCUUGCCUCCUUUCCCAAGGCAUGGUUACAGGCUGACAUAUACUGCCAGAACAACCACUUCCCAAGAGAUUGACUGGCUAACAAGGCUGGAUUUUUAUUCCCUCUGACCUUGAUCACUCAUCUUGUACCAAUGAGUAACUUAUUGGUUUGUGUGUGAUUGGAUUGUAUUUUUUUUUUGGUCUAUUGGUGUUUCUGAGGCACCUGCUUGGGGAUUUAGAUCUUGGAGUGGCUCAUUGAUAACAUGAAAUUGUUGACAAAUUGGUUUUUUAAAAAAGCUUGUGUUGUUUUCACAAAAAAAUACUUUGUGUGGAAGCUGGCUGUUGUAUAGAAGUCAGGACAAAGGACAGCAUAGGAUUAGGGUCUCCUGGUGCUGGAGUGGAGCUUAGCUCUUCAGGCUUCCUGCCAAAGGUCUUUCAUCACAGUCGCCUCAAUAGCUAGGUUUCUUAUUUGUGCGUGAUGCUCUUUGAGGUAAAAGUUUCACUGUGAUACUUCUAGCUGGCCUGGACUUUGCACCAUUAACCUUGAAUCUGAAUUAACUCCAGAUGUGCCUAGCUCUGCCUCAAAGUGCUGGUAUAUAAGGCUCAUACCACCACUGUGCUAUCCCUGAUCCCAAAGUCUUUAAGCUUAGACUUGAAGUUGAGGAAACUCCCUCCCGAGAGUUUGAUUAACACCUGGACAUAAUGGAAAAUCAGGAAUUUAUUGUAUAUGUAUGGACUACACUAGUGAGACCGGUUACAGCAGGACUAGAAGCCUCUGCAUGGACCAUCCCUGCCUAUGGAGAUCAGGCUGGCCUUGAACUCACAGAACUCUGCCUGCCUUUGCCUCUUGAGUAAUGGAAGUGAAGGUCUGCUCCGACAUGCGCAGGCUGCAGAUGACAUUCCUUGGGUUUGGUGGAAGUUACUGUUGUGAUCAUACUUUAGAAAAGGUGAAGGAUUUAUAUUGUUAUAGGUAUGGCUACACUGCGGCCCUGGACAGCCCAGGAUGACUUUGCUUUAACCACACACGGUCUCCAAAUGCUAACAAAGCAACCUCAUUGUUUGGGUUUUGUUAUUAAAACAGGGUCUCUAAGUAACACUGGCUGCUCUAGAAUGCUCUAUGCAGACCAGGUUGGCCCUCAAAUCUCAGAGAUCCACCUGUCUUCUUCCCACCACACCCCCAGUGCUCUCAUCAAAGGCAUGGGCCACCUGACUUGGUUCCCUGUAGAAUCCUCCAAACAGACAAGGGUGACAUGGAAAUUUAUAUUCCUGAUAACUUCAGUUCCUGAGACAGGGAUUGAUGUUGUCAAUUCAGUCAGGUGAUGUUUCAAUAAAUUAUUCAAUGUCUAUAAA